rnacentral:lncRNA from 1 species
GUAUAUAUAUGAUGUGCAUAUCCUUAUAUGUGUGUGUAAAGUGCAUAACUGUAUAUAUACAAUGUACUAAUAUAUACAUUUCUAGGUACAUUGAUGUAUAUGACCAAAUAUACACGUAUUAUAAGUUUAUACAGUUAUUAACGUAUACGAACACUGAUAUAUGUAUAUAUACUAUACACACACUCACAUUGAUAUAUAUACUACACACACGGUCACACUCACACUCACACAAACUCUCACACUGACACAUUCACUCACUCACUCACACACACACACACACUCACACUCACGUUCACACUCGCACAUUCACACUUACACUCACAUUCACACUAACGCUCAGUUAUAUAUAUUAUACAUAUGUGCAUGUUGUGUAUAAAUUGAUGUGUCUAUAUAUACGACAUGUAUAUACUGAUAGGUUUAUGCUUGCAUAUAUAUAGUUUGCUUGUUGUCAGUUAUAUACAAUUAUCAAUAUUUAUAUACACUGGUAUGCGCAUGCACAAGUGCCUUUAUGUGUUGAUAAGUGCAUAUGUACUGUGUAUGUAUACACUAAUACAUGCAUUCUGUAUACAUUGAUGUAUUUAACCAUAUAGACCCUUAUUAUCAAUUUAUAUAUAUGUAGUGUGUGUAUAUACUAAUACGUUUGUGCAUGUAUGCAUAAACUUGCUAUCAAUUAUUUAUACACUGAUAUGCGCACAAACAUGCACUUUUACGUAUUGCUAGUACAUACGUACAUUUUUUUACACACUG